UACGGGGGGGGCAAGCGUUGUUCGGAAUUACUGGGCGUAAAGGGCUCGUAGGUGGCCAACUAAGUCAGACGUGAAAUCCCCUCGGCUUAACCGGGGAACUGCGUCUGAUACUGGAUGGCUUGAGUUUGGGAGAGGGACGCGGAAUUCCAGGUGUAGCGGUGAAAUGCGUAGAUAUCUGGAGGAACACCGGUGGCGAAGGCGGCGUCCUGGACCAACACUGACACUGAGGCGCGACAGCGUGGGGAGCAAACAGG
rnacentral:rRNA from 1 species